ensembl:lncRNA
CGAGCUUAUGUUAGCCUCGCAGAAUUAAUUUAUGCCGAAAGUUUAUACUAACCUUCCGGAGUUAAUGCGUCUGUGAGUUUAUGUUAACCUCUCAGACUCAAUUAUUAGGUCUGUCUGCCCUCUUUAGAACAUACUUCCAAAACUUUUUUCCUAAAGUGCAUUCCUCAACACAUUUCAUUUAUCCAUUUAAUCACUCCUUUCUCCCCCCCUCCACACUCCCAUGUAUCCCAUGAUUUAUGGUAAACGUGUGCAAGGAGUAAUAUUGGCAAAUAAGUGGACUUGUUUACAACAACACAAAGGCUACAAGACUCUCAUUCAUCCGUCAUGGGACAACAGCGGCGCGUCAAUGAGGGUUUCCGGAAAAAAAUGCCUCAGUGGCUUAAAGCGUUGGCUUAGCCUCUACAUUCAAAGUCAAAACUGUUUUUCUUAUUCCGGCUAGAAAGACCUGCCGAGCUCACAAAGGUUCCUACCCUAUAUAGGCUGACCCGCCCAUCAAUCAGAUGCUGCCAUACAUCAUAAAUCGCCUCUUACAGGUAGUGUGUCUAUGUGUACAUCUAAAUAUUAAUGAUCUAUGUGUACAUCUAAAUAUUAGUGUCCUCUUCUCCAUUAAAUUCACCUUCCAUUUAACAACAGUCAACCAGUUCGUAUGUAUGUUACCCGGGCAGACAGCUAUGUUCUGAAAGUUUAUACUAACCUUUCAGAGAAAAUGUUUGUGUCCGCGAGCUUAUGUUAGCCUCGCAGAAUUAAUUUAUGCUGAAAGUUUAUACUAACCUUUCAGAGAAAAUGUUUGUGUCCA